GGCUCAUCGCAUCCUGGGGCUGUAGUCGGUCCCAAGGGUUGGGCUGUUCGCCCAUUAAAGCGGUACGCGAGCUGGGUUCAGAACGUCGUGAGACAGUUCGGUCCCUAUCCGUCGCGGGCGUAGGAAAUUUGAGAGGACCUGUCCUUAGUACGAGAGGACCGGGAUGGACAUACCGCUGGUGUACCAGUUGUUCCGCCAGGAGCACCGCUGGGUAGCUAUGUAUGGACGAGAUAAACGCUGAAAGCAUCUAAGUGUGAAACUCGCCUCGAGAUGAGAUUUCCCAUUUCCUUCGGGAAAGUAAGACCCCUCAGAGAUGAUGAGGUAGAUAGGAUGGAAGUGGAAGUGCCGUGAGGCAUGGAGCGGACCAUUACUAAUCGGUCGAGGACUUAACCAAG
rnacentral:rRNA from 2 species